rnacentral:misc_RNA from 1 species
GCAAGUUGUUAUGGAUGCAUUCUCAGAUGGGAGCAGUUUUAUUUGUUUGCAAUGUGGGGGUCUUGUCAGUAACAACCGCAAAGAUGAGCAUUAUGCAUAUUGGUGUGCCCAGAUCUAACUUGUAUUUGUGUAUCAAUCCUCAUUCUUGUCUUACCUGCCGAAAAAAUCCUCCAGAACUUGUAUUUGUGUCUUUCUAUUUGUACAUGGCACAGCUGCUUUUAUACUGGCGCGCCCCAGUUGUUGAUGCUAGCAAGCUAAGGUUUUAAACGGGUGUCGCCAAUUGAUGCCA